AGGGCAAGUCUGGUGCCAGCAGCCGCGGUAAUUCCAGCUCCAAUAGCGUAUAUUAAAGUUGUUGUGGUUAAAAAGCUCGUAGUUGAACCUUGGGCCUGGCUGGCCGGUCCGCCUCACCGCGUGUACUGGUCCGGCCGGGCCUUUCCCUCUGUGGAACCCCAUGCCCUUCACUGGGUGUGGCGGGGAAACAGGACUUUUACUUUGAAAAAAUUAGAGUGCUCCAGACAGGCCUAUGCUCGAAUACAUUAGCAUGGAAUAAUAGAAUAGGACGUGUGGUUCUAUUUUGUUGGUUUCUAGGACCGCCGUAAUGAUUAAUAGGGACAGUCGGGGGCAUCAGUAUUCAAUUGUCAGAGGUGAAAUUCUUGGAUUUAUUGAAGACUAACUACUGCGAAAGCAUUUGCCAAGGAUGUUUUCAUUAAUCAGGAACGAAAGUUAGGGGAUCGAAGACGAUCAGAUACCGUCGUAGUCUUAACCAUAAACUAUGCCGACUAGGGAUCGGACGAUGUUAUUUUUUGACUCGUUCGGCACCUUACGGGAAAC
rnacentral:rRNA from 1 species